ACAAGCGGUGGAGUAUGUGGUUUAAUUCGAUGCAACGCGAAGAACCUUACCUGGUCUUGACAUCCCGGAGACCCUUAGGAACUAGGGGUGCUUCCAUCUGAAGAAUCUGGAGACAGGUGCUGCAUGGCUGUCGUCAGCUCGUGUCGUGAGAUGUUGGGUUAAGUCCCGCAACGAGCGCAACCCUUGCCUUUAGUUGCCAGCAGUUCGGCUGGGCACUCUAAAGGGACUGCCGGUGUUAAACCGGAGGAAGGUGGGGAUGACGUCAAGUCCUCAUGGCCUUUAUGACCAGGGCUACACACGUACUACAAUGGCCGAUACAAAGGGCAGCGACACUGCGAGGUGAAGCCAAUCCCGUAAAAUCGGUCUCAGUCCGGAUUGGAGUCUGCAACUCGACUCCAUGAAGUUGGAAUCGCUAGUAAUCGUGGAUCAGCAUGCCACGGUGAAUACGUUCCCGGGCCUU
rnacentral:rRNA from 1 species